CAACCCUCAGGACCCGUUCGCGGGACCUGGCGUUGGGGAUCAGCCUGCCCCUGGCGGCGGCUGGCCCUGAAAUCCAGUGGCGGUUCCCUCGCGAACUCCUCCGUGCAGUAAUUAAACCUCUCGCGGCAGGAUAGCGGUUGAACCACGCCGUUAAACCCCCCACUUCUCAA
rnacentral:misc_RNA from 3 species